rnacentral:rRNA from 1 species
AACUUUCAACAACGGAUCUCUUGGCUCUGGCAUCGAUGAAGAACGCAGCGAAAUGCGAUAAGUAAUGUGAAUUGCAGAAUCUAGUGAAUCAUCGAAUCUUUGAACGCACAUUGCGCCCCUUGGUAUUCCGGGGGGCAUGCCUGUUCGAGCGUCA